UUCUUUUAUUUUGCUACACCAUGUGGUAUCAAAUCCUGCACAACACAAGAAGUAGUUAUAACUAACUCCCAAUAAACUUGAGAGGAAGAGGAUGAAACUACUUAGAACUUGGCACCAACAAAUUGACACCAAGUAGAAGGAUGCCACCCACUUCUCCCUAAUUCCAAGAGAGAUGCCUAAAGAGAGAGAGGGCAUGGGC
rnacentral:lncRNA from 1 species